ensembl:lncRNA
GUGGAGGAAAAUACGGGACAAAUGUGUCCUUGAUGAAAAGCAGCAGUGUGGAUGCACGGGGCAAUAAAGUCUAUGAUCAAUAAAUAAAGCAACCAACGACUUCCACACACAAAGACGUGACUCUCCAGGUCGUCUUCAACAAAACACGUGACUCCACCUGUUGUUCUGGAGGUGAAUCGCUCUGCAACACACGCAGGACUUUACAACCAGGAAGUGAAAGGUGCGCGUCGACACGUGAAGACGCAGAAACACGCGGCGACCUUUAGUGUGUCAGAGCUGAGAUAUUUAACCCUUGACCUCACACACUGGACUACAUGCGUGUACAAGCACUGAUCUAUCACAGAUGUCUGUACAUGUGACACACACACACACACACACACACACACUUACCAGUGAAAGCAGGUGUAAAGUCACGGUGAGGUUUGGAGAUCUGAAGCCUAGUGAAGAGAGAAGAGGUUCAUCAUCCUCGUCACAGGAACAAAGCGUUGCCGUGGUAACAAGUAUGACCUCACCUGCUGGCGUCGGACUCCUUGUUGCUGGAGAUGGACCCCCACACGUCCAGGAGACUUCCCCCUGACGAGUUUGAAGAAGCCAAGGAGGGCCUCCUGUCCCCCCCUCCUCCCGAGCUCCUGGUUCUGAACAGCUUACUAAGUCGGGCCUUCAGGGAGCCCCCCUUCUUGGACUUUCUCUGCGGCGUCUGCUCCUCACCUCCGAUCCCUUCCUCCAGGACCACCAGGGGGGAGUCUGCAUUGCAGGGGGUGGGAACUGUGGCACCGAGGUUUACCAGGGAUGACUGGCAGUGCUGGUUGGUGCACAGACCCGCCUCCUGCGCCAGUCUGUGGACCUGCUGCAUCAGACCGCUCAGGGUCCCACUGGAGAACACAGGCCCUGCCCCCCCAGGGACUCCCCCCACCCUAUCCCCCUUCCCAGAGUCCCCUCCUCCCCCUGGACCUCCAAAUUCCAGACCUUCUAGAACCAGCAGGGCGUCACUGGUCUCACUCGGAUCCUCGGAAGGCCCAGUGACCCCCGACCUCCCGGACAGGAAACUGUGA